GUGAGGAAUAUUGGUCAAUGGACGAGAGUCUGAACCAGCCAAGUCGCGUGAAGGAAGACGGUUCUAUGAAUUGUAAACUUCUUUUGUGCAGGAAUAAAGUGGGUUACGUGUAACCUUUUGUAUGUACUGUACGAAUAAGGAUCGGCUAACUCCGUGCCAGCAGCCGCGGUAAUACGGAGGAUCCGAGCGUUAUCCGGAGUUAUUGGGUUUAAAGGGUGCGUAGGUGGAUUGAUAAGUCAGCGGUGAAAGUUUGCAGCUUAACUGUAAAAUUGCCGUUGAAACUGUCGGUCUUGAGUGCACAUGAGGUAGGCGGAAUGUGUUGUGUAGCGGUGAAAUGCUUAGAUAUAACACAGAACUCCGAUUGCGAAGGCAGCUUACUGGGAUGCAACUGACACUGAUGCACGAAAGCGUGGGUAUCAAACAGGAUUAGAAACCCUUGUAGUCC
rnacentral:rRNA from 1 species